AUUGAACGCUGGCGGCAGGCCUAACACAUGCAAGUCGAACGAGUGGCGGACGUGUGAGUAAUGUCUGGGAAACUGCCUGAUGGAGGGUGCUAACUACUGGAAACGGUCGCUAAUACCGCAUACCAUCGGAUGUUCCCCGAUGGGAUUAGCUAGUAGGUGGGGUAACGGCGCACCUAGGCUACGAUCCCUAGCUGGUCUGAGAGGAUGAACAGCCACACUGGAACUGAGACACGGUCCAGACUCCUACGGGAGGCAGCAGUGGGGAAUAUUGCACAAUGGGCGCAGGCCUGAUACAGCCAUGCCGCGUGUAUGAAGAAGGCAUGCGGGGUGUAAAAUACUUUCAGCGGGGAGGCGGUACCCGCAGAAGAAGCACCGGCUAACUCCGUGCCAGCAGCCGCGGUAAUUC
rnacentral:rRNA from 1 species